UACGUAGGGGCCAAGCGUUGUCCGGAUUUAUUGGGCGUAAAGAGCUCGUAGGCGGUUCGGCAAGUCAGCUGUGAAAUCUCCACGCUCAACGUGGAGGGGUCAGCUGAUACUGCUGUGACUCGAGUCCGGUAGGGGAGUGUGGAAUUCCCGGUGUAGCGGUGAAAUGCGCAGAUAUCGGGAGGAACACGCGUAGCGAAGGCGGCACUCUGGGCCGGAACUGACGCUGAGGAGCGAAAGCGUGGGGAGCAAACAGG
rnacentral:rRNA from 1 species